rnacentral:lncRNA from 1 species
UUGAAUAAUAACAUUUUGCAUCGCGUAGUCACCGGUUAUACAAGCUACACUGGACUCAGAUAAGGCUCUCAACGACCAACUCUGCUCGCUGCUACCAUCAUCUGCCAUCGAUGAUGCCUCAAAGGUAUCACCAUCCUCACUAGCAAUGUCGACUUCAGUAUCAUCGUCACCAUUCGUCUCUUCAGGUUCAUCUUGGAGAGCCUUUAAUGAGUCUUCCUCCAACCUAAUACCUUUCAAGAUGGACGAAAGCUCUUCAUCAUCCUUUCCGCUAUCUUUUGCACACUUCUUUUCACCAGCUUUGUCAGCUUCUUGAUCUUUCUGAAAUUCUUGCUCAGCCAAGGCAUUGUAAUGUUCCCACUUGGCCUUUCUCCUAAGGAACUUCCUGUGAGUACUGCUACUAACCGCAGGCCUCCAUUCACCACCACCAUCUUCAUCAGCAUCAUUUCCCCCCUGAGAUGCAUCUAUUCCUUCCACCACCAUCUUACCCUCAAUCUUCACCUCCGUUUUCUUAGGCGGGUACCUCUUCUGCUUCCUCCCGCCUUCCUCCUCAUCCUCUUCUUGACCCUCAGUAUGAGACGCAACAUCACCAACCUCAGAACAGCUGUCCGAGGGAGGAAGGAUGUUCAUGUUAAGGUCUUUAAGCGGAAGGAUCUUGGAAGUAGUGUUCGAUUUCUCCUCAGUCUCGUUCUCCAGCGCCUCCCACUCCUCCAAGUUAGCCACAUUAGACCCCCAUCCAGGCAACUCCUUCUCAGGUAAUCUCUUAACCCUAACAGUCUGAAUAGGCGGAGGAACAUCUCUAAGAUUCUUGGUCCCAUGAACCUCAGCCUCGAGCGUGUACGUCAAAGCAAUCAACUUAAGAUCAACAUCAGAGAGUGUUUGCAAAUCACCAGUAGCUUUUGCAAAUUUAAUAACUGCACAAACAAACAAAAAACAAUAACUGCUUUCAACCAUCGAAUCCAAACUAACUACCUCAAAAAGAAGAAUCAAUUUGCUUUACCUUUACUGAGGGAUUCAGGAGAAGGCUCCAUGGUUUCGAUAACGAAAGGGACGAACUCGAGACGACGGCGAGAGUUAGGGUCGCGAAUCUCCGAGAUUACUUCGGGGACGGUUACGAAUUUGUCGGCGAAGUUGGUUAAGCUCUGGCUACCGUCGAUGACGGCGUUGGCGUCGACGACCGCCAUGGAUAUGUAACGUAUCUGAAUAGUAUAAGCCAGCUGUAACGUUCAUAUAACUCAGCCAUCGAGUGUAAUUUGUUUCGCGACGUUUCAUAUUUUGGGCGGGAACAAAAUAUUUUGGGCGGGAACAAAAUCAUUCCUUCAACUUUGAAUAUAAUAAAACUUUAAUCUUUUCUUAAAUUUGAACCUAAAACUUUAAACUAUAGAACUAUAAAGUUAUAAAAUUAUAAAGUUUAUCUUUUGAACACAAUAUUAAAACUUUAAUCUUUUCGUAAAUUUGAACUUCAAACCCUAAACUAUAGAACUAUAAAGUUAUAAAAAAUUAUAAACUCAGCCGUAAUGUAUGCAUAACUCGGCCAUAACGUAUGUGUUGGAGUCUCACUGUAUGAACUAAAGUUAUCAUAUUCAGAUGACGCACCAUCUGAAUCAUCAAACAUAUAUAAUCAGCUUUCAAAUUCAUCAUCUUCUUCGUCUUCUUUCAUUUUCUUACUUUUUUGUUCAACUCUCUCAUUUUCUUACAAUUUACAAUUAACUUAGCUUCUUCAUCUCUCUCUUUGAGUCUUUCUUCUUAUGCAAAACGACAAAUCCAAUGAGAGAGGGAGCAUUCUUGCAGGAUGUCGGACGCAUUCUUGCAGGAUGUUGGACCGCCAUACAUGACACUGGAGGAGAGAAAGCUUCUCUUUAACCGAUCAUCAUCGAAAACGACAAAGAUUGCAGUAGAUCUGUCUCAGAUUUUUAAUUUUUUUAAUCUAUGUUUAUAGACCUAGGAGGUGAUUGGUAGUUGCUGUAGGUGCUGUCCACAGCCCUAUUUAUUUCUACAUCACUAAAUUCAGAGCAAUCAAGCUUUAAUUUUUUUUUGAAACCACGGCUUUUGAAAUAACCUACAGCUGUACAAGUGUUCUGCAGAGCCAAAUAUCCAAAGCAAUUGUUUAGUGUUUUCCAUAAAAUUCUAUAGCAAUAAAAUCUAAAACCACAGCAAAAAGUCUACAGAUUUUUUUCUGCAGAUAAAAUUUUAAAGCUACAGCCAAUACCAAUCGAACUCCAUAUUGCGGAAACAAUAAUUACCAUAUCCAUAAGAUCUCAGAGAAAGAUGAAAAAUAAGAUGAAGAAGAUAGAUAAAAAAAAUAUGAAGAAUAAAGAUAAUAUAGACUCUUAUUUUACCGUUGUAAUAUUAGACUAAUGAUGACAAGGUAAAUCCGAGUUGAUGACAUGAAAAAUUGGUUAGUCAGCCACCAAACGAAUAUAUAACUCAACCUAAAUAAGUCUGCCCUCAUGUACAAUGUAAGUCAGCCGAAACGUGGAUACUAGUUCAGUAAUUAAUAUUUUGCUAAUAAAUCAGUCGUAAUUAGGUAGCAAAAUUAUAAGUCAGCUGUAUCGUCAAAUAAAUCAGCCGUCAAAUGAAUGAUAUUCUAGUAAUUAAUGUUUCGCUAAUAAGUCAGCCAUAAAUAAGCCGAGUUUACUGUUAAUCCAUCCAAUUAUGGUUGAUUAAAUAUAACUCAGCCGUAACAACAUCCCAUAAGUCGGAAUAACUCAUCCAGUCGAUGUUCAUUAACUCAGGCGUGGAAACAUAACUCAGCCAUGUCUUAACUAUAACUCAGCCGAAUUUUUCAGAAAUCAAACCGCCGAUGUAUAAGUCAGCUGUAACGCGUGUACAUAAGUCAUCUGUUAUCCCAUAAAUCAGCCAGAUUUCUGUAAAUCAGCCGUUACUAACAGCUGACUUAUGUUCUUAAGUCAGCCGCGUUGUUUAAUUCAGCCGUAACGUAGCAACAACUCAGUUGUAACAAUGUAUAUAGCGCUUUACGGCUGACUUAAUGAAAACACAGAAUCAAAUUUCUACGUAGCGCCGAGUUUUUGCUUAUGUGGCACUAAAAAAUAAGGGCAUUCUUGGAAAUACGUUUUUUUCUCAUAACAUAAAAAAAAAGAACACGCUUGAUAUAAAAAAAUGGCAGUAAUGAAAAAAAGAUUUGUACGGGUCUAAUUAAUUGUCUUGAGUAAAUUUCCCUGAAUAUAAACUAUUGGUUUAUGGUUCUUAAAAGAAUAAUAGUAUUGAGACCAAAACAGUGCCGAAAGCAUGGGUAAAUGUUUGAAAGUCAAUUCUAAAGAAAAUGAAAAACAAAACAGAGCCAAAAGUAUAAUUCAUAAAAUAGCAAAUAUAACCACAAUACAAUUGUUCUCAUAGAAGAGAUGCUUGGUAUGGGGUAGAAACAAAUAGAUCAGUGCAUAGAACGCGAGUAAUGGUUAUCAUUAGGGUUCCGUUUCUGACUGAAAACCGCCAUAGCUUUUCUCACUGGAGGCUGCAAUGGUGCCUUUUUAUCACUGUGAUGGUUCAUGAACACAUCGUCUGAUAUAAAAUACUCAUCUCCCUGAACAACAAAAAAAAAAACCACACUAUAAUCAAAUCAAAAUGUUCUUUUCCUCCAUUAGAGUUUCUAUAGUUACUAACCGCUUUGCUUGCUUUCUUCUUGGUCUUGGGAUGGAGGUACUUUUGAGGAAGUUGAUCUUCCCUUAGAACCAGAUUCUUGGUGAUUGCGUCUCUUCCGCUUUUAGGCAUCGGUAUCGAAAACUGCACAAAGAAAACGAGGGUUUCUUGUUAAAAUGCAGAGCAAGUAACGAACAGCAAAUCAUGGUUGUUUCUGCUUAUAACCGACUACUUACUUUAGUCCCUCGAAGUGUUACACGUGGUUUACGUGCAGCUAUGAUGGUGCCAUUCUCGCCUAUUGUAACCGCUACUUUGCGCAGAGUGCCGCCAUUACCGCACUUGGGACAGAAGAUUCUUCCAAUUUCAGGAGUUACUGUGUAGCAAGCAUGGCAUUUCAACACCCACCUGAACAUCCAAGUGCAAUCAAGUAUAAGACUUCCCCCUCAGCUAAUGAAAAGUGUUUGAGGGAUAAGAGGAACAUCUGAUUCAUAAAGUUGUACCUGUUUAGUUGGCGAAUUUGCAUACCUCCGGGUGCAAGCAAACGCAAACCCAUUUGAAUAAUAACAUUUUGCAUCGCGUAGUCACCGGUUAUACAAGCUACACUGGACUCAGAUAAGGCUCUCAACGACCAACUCUGCUCGCUGCUACCAUCAUCUGCCAUCGAUGAUGCCUCAAAGGUAUCACCACCCUCACUAGCAAUGUCGACUUCAGUAUCAUCCUCACCAUUCGUCUCUUCAGGUUCUUCUUGGAGAGCCUUUAAUGAGUCUUCCUCCACCCUCAUAUCGUUCAAGAUGGACGAAAGCUCUUCAUCAUCCUUUCCGCUAUCUUUUGCACACUUCUUUUCACCAGCUUU